rnacentral:rRNA from 1 species
AUUGAACGCUGGCGGCAGGCCUAACACAUGCAAGUCGAACGGUAGCACAGAGGAGCUUGCUCCUUGGGUGACGAGUGGCGGACGGGUGAGUAAUGUCUGGGAAACUGCCCAAUGGAGGGGGAUAACUACCGGAAACGGUAGCUAAUACCGCAUAACGUCGCAAGACCAAAGAGGGGGACCUUCGGGCCUCUUGCCAUCGGAUGUGCCCAGAUGGGAUUAGCUAGUAGGUGGGGUAACGGCUCACCUAGGCGACGAUCCCUAGCUGGUCUGAGAGAAUAACCGGCCACACUGGAACUGAGACACGGGCCAGAGUCCUACGGGGGGCAGCAGUGGGGAAUAUUGCACAAUGGGCGCAAGCCUGAUGCAGCCAUGCCGCGUGUAUGAAGAAGGCCUUCGGGUUGUAAAGUACUUUCAGCGAGGAGGAAGGCGUUGUGGUUAAUAACCGCAACGAUUGACGUUACUCGCAGAAGAAGCACCGGCUAACUCCGUGCCAGCAGCCGCCGUAACAC